UACGUAGGUGACAAGCGUUGUCCGGAUUUACUGGGCGUAAAGAGCGCGCAGGCGGUCGAUCAAGUCGAGUGUGAAAGCCCCCGGCUCAACUGGGGAGGGUCAUUCGAUACUGAUCGACUCGAAGGCAGGAGAGGGUAGUGGAAUUCCCGGUGUAGUGGUGAAAUGCGUAGAUAUCGGGAGGAACACCAGUGGCGAAGGCGACUACCUGGCCUGUUCUUGACGCUGAGGCGCGAAAAGCUAGGGGAGCAAACGGGG
rnacentral:rRNA from 1 species